CCUAGAACUAGCUCUGUAGACAAGG
rnacentral:piRNA from 1 species